rnacentral:rRNA from 1 species
AUGGCGCUCUCCCGCCGCCUUCUCCUAUUCCUCUCCCUCGUCGCCAUCACGGCGGGCACCGGCACCUCCGCGAUGAUCGUGACAAGGUGCUAUCCGCCGCCGACGCCCACUGUCAACGGCAGCACCAGCGCGUUCUUCCGCCGCGAUCUCCUCUCGCUACUCGACGCCCUCCCCUCGGUCGCCGCGUGGACGGGCUUCGCCUCCAUGCGGACCGGCGGCUCGUUCGCCCGCGGCCUCUGCUUCGGCGACCCCGCGCCGGACUCGUGCUUCCGCUGCCUGUCCGACGUCGGCAGGAAGAUCACCGACCUGUACGACGACGCUAGCCGGCGCGCGGGCUUCCUGAAUGACGGCUGCUUCCUGGGCUACGCCGACACCAACGCGUCCUCCGCAGGCGCUGACGACAACGCCAUCAGUGGCGUGACAUUCUCCGGCCACACCAUCCCGCGCGUCGACGCCGGCGACGCGCUGAAGCUCGUGGCCGUGGCGCGGUCCUUGGUCCCGCGGUCCGUGAACGGCCAGGUGGCAGCCGCCGACGCGACGUCUACGGCGAGCAACGGCGACACGGUGCGCGUGCUGGCACAGUGCGCCACGGACCGCGCCCCAGCGGAGUGCGCCCGGUGCCUGCAGGACUCAUCGCUGCAGAUGGCCAGGAGCUGGGGGCUCACGCGCAGCGCCAGCACCGUGCAGGCGGUUCUCGGCUCGAACUGCUACCUCCGCUUCGAGAUAUCAUCACCGCCCCUGGGAGAGAAGAUUCGGAGGAUCGUAAAGGGUCACAUCGUCCUGACUGUGUGCAUUGGCUUCAUCGUCGCUGUAGCCGUAGCCGUGCUGGUGGUGGUGAGAAGAAAGGCCGGGAAUACAACAGCAACAGCAUCAGCGGCGGAAGGGAAGCAAUGA